GACAGAGGGUGCGAACGUUGCUCGGAAUUACUGGGCGUAAAGCGCGCGUAGGCGGCUUUUCAAGUCGAUUGUGAAAUCCCCGGGCUUAACCUGGGAACUGCAGUCGAGACUGUCUAGCUAGAGUAUGGGAGAGGGAAGUGGAAUUUCAGGUGUAGCGGUGAAAUGCGUAGAUAUCUGAAGGAACAUCAGUGGCGAAAGCGACUUCCUGGACCAAUACUGACGCUCAUGUGCGAAAGCGUGGGGAGCAAACAGG
rnacentral:rRNA from 1 species